AACGAUGCAAUGAUAAGGAAGAGUAAAAAGUACGCGUAGGCAAGAGAGGGAACGGUAGCUGAGAAGUUUCUACUAAAGCGCUUUUGAAGGUAGCCUUGGAGCAACAUUUGUGAACAACAGUAGCAAAUGUCGGCAGCUAAGCCGUUAUGUAUUGAGUGCUAAGCUUCGGCUUGGAAUAAAGGUGGUACCGCGAAAGCUCCUUCGUCCUUUUU
rfam:Lysinibacillus sp. BF-4 contig00003, whole genome shotgun sequence.